GGUGAAUUUCGUACAUCAGGUACAAUGGUUAGGGAAGAAAUCUACAUAGAACGUAAUUUAUAAAUAAGAGAAGCAGUGGGAAGUCCUGUUCAUCUACAAAAGCACAAUCUCAACAAUUAAGGCCCGGUUCCGUCAUUUCCAGGCAAAAUGGGAAAAUCGGAAAAUCGAACGAUUGUAAUGCUUCCAGUCGGAAGCA